AGAUUGAACGCUGGCGGCAUGCUUUACACAUGCAAGUCGAACGGCAGCGCGGGGCAACCUGGCGGCGAGUGGCGAACGGGUGAGUAAUAUAUCGGAACGUACCCAAGAGUGGGGGAUAACGUAGCGAAAGUUACGCUAAUACCGCAUACGAUCUAAGGAUGAAAGCAGGGGACCGCAAGGCCUUGUGCUCCUGGAGCGGCCGAUAUCUGAUUAGCUAGUUGGUACGGUAAAGGCCUACCAAGGCUACGAUCAGUAGCUGGUCUGAGAGGACGACCAGCCACACUGGAACUGAGACACGGUCCAGACUCCUACGGGA
rnacentral:rRNA from 1 species